rnacentral:rRNA from 1 species
CCCUUAGAUGUUCUGGGCUGCACGCGCGCUACACUGAUGCACUCAACGAGUUUACGACCUUGCCCGAUAGGGUUGGGUAAUCUUUUUAAAAUGCAUCGUGAUGGGGAUAGAUUAUUGCAAUUAUUAAUCUUCAACGAGGAAUUCCUAGUAAGCGCAAGUCAACAGCUUGCGUUGAUUACGUCCCUGCCCUUUGUACACACCGCCCGUCGCUACUACUGAUUGGAUGUUUAAGCGAGGUUCUCGAACUGCUAGCGACUUAGCUUCGGUGAGGUCGCAGUGUGGGAAGUGAACCUAGCUUUGGUGUCUAGAGGAAGUAAAAGUCGUAACA